GUUAAGCGUCAGAAAUUUACUAGUACAAUAUGGUACUGUGCAUGUCAGAUUGUGCCGAUGCGUGUCAUUCAAAAAAAUAAAAAGUAUGCCAAUAUAUAAUAACAUAAAAAAUUUAUUCUUUUAGCAAUAAAAUAUUAUAACUGUUUAUUAUAUAUGCUUGUCAAAAUUUUUGAACUUUAUGGAGAAAAUUAUUUACUAAUUUAAAAAAUAGAGAUUUUGAGUUGUGCCAUCUGUAUGGGUGCUAUAUCGUACCGAUAUUUUAUUUGCACAGUAAAUACGGUCUAUACCGAUUGGCAUUUAAAUUCUUGAUGGAUUGGAAUGCAUAUGUGAAGUGUUUAGAGUUUAUAAUUUAAGGUGCAAUUAAUAAUAGUACUAAGGAUUUUGCAAUGGUAUUUGGAAUUUACUAAUUAAUGAUGUUUAGAGUAUAAUAAUAA
rnacentral:lncRNA from 1 species